rnacentral:lncRNA from 1 species
CUGGUUCUGGUUUAGGUCCAGGUCCAGGUUCUGGUUCAGGUCUGGGUUUAGGUUUGGGUUUGGGUUCAGGUUCUGGUUCUGGUUCUGGACUCCCCAUAAUGGAGCUGCACCACCUGCAACACAACGGGGUCAAGGCUCUGGGUCUGGUUCUGGUUCGGGUUCUGGUUUGGGUUUAGGUUCUGGUUCCCCCCCCAUAGGGUUUUAGUGUGGUCGGGGUCUGGUUCUGGUUCUGGUUUAGGUUCUGGUUCAGGUUCUGGUUCUGGUUUAGGUUCUGUUUCUGUUUCUGGUUCUGGUUCAGGUUCUGGGUUUAUGUUCUGGUUCUGGUUUAAGUUUGGGUUUAGGUUUAGGUUCUGGGUUUAGGUUCUGUUUCUGGUUUAGGUCCAGGUCCAGGUUCUGGUUCAGGUCUGGGUUUAGGUUUAGGUUUGGGUUCAGGUUCUGGUUCUGGUUCUGGACUCCCCAUAAUGGAGCUGAACCACCUGGAACAUACAGGGUCCAAUGGGGGCAGGGUCUGGUUCUGGUUCUGGUUCUGGUUCUGGGUUUAGGUUCUGGCUCUGGUUCAGGUCUGGGUUUAGGUUUGGGUUCAGGUUCUGGUUCUGGUUCUGGACUCCCCAUAACGGAGCUGCACCACCUGCAACACAACGGGGUCAAGGCUCUGGGUCUGGUUCUGGUUCGGGUUCUGGUUU